GCUUAAGGCCAUGGAUAUUUCUUGCCGUCACUACGUCCGAAGAUGGCUCAAACUGCUGAAAGAUUCUAUCACUGCCUUUUUCCAUGCCAAAAUCCGAGAUGGAGGUUUAGGCCUUACCUCACUAGCUACUUCGAUCCCCCUGUGGCGAAGAAUACGCCUAACGAAACUCAUAACCUCUGAACAUCCGGUGGUCAGAGACGUGGUGAGACGUGGCUGUUGCUAAUGAACCGGUGUUCGUGAUGGGUACAGUUGUUAGCGAUAAGGAUGAGGCGGCCAUGGCAUGGAAAUUAGCUAUGAAUGCCACUUUGGACUGUGCUGACCUACAGAUUAUCCAUGAAACACCAGAGUCAAGCGUAUGGGUUACUAAAUCUUCAAGAAUGAUACCAAGUCUGUACAUACGUGGUCUACAGCUGCGUGCGGGCAUGUUGGGGACGAAAUCUCGCCAACAACGUGGCCGGGCCCAGAUGGACAAACUAUGCAGACGAGGUUGUGGGCAAACGGAAACUUUGCCUCACGUAUUGCAAAGCUGUCCAGCUGCACAUGCUGCACGCUGCGUCAGGCAUAACCGAGUAGCCAAGGGCAUCGCUACCUCACUAAGACGGAAAGGUUACCAGGUGUAUGAGGAACCCAUCAUUAGAACUGGCACGACAUACUGCAAGCCGGACAUCAUUGCGUGCCAGGAUGGGUUAGGAUUCGUGAUUGAUGUAGCGCUGGUCUCAGGCCAUCGUCUACAUGAGAGCUGGGAUCUCAAAAUAGCCAAAUAUGAUACUGAGGUAAUCAACUCGGCUAUAAUUGAAUGUUUACCGGAAGAUGCGGGAAUCCUUAGCCUCAUACACCAACCCGCCAUCAUAUCUUUUAAGAGGGUAUGGUUACCUCUGUCUGCCAAGCGGCUCAAAACCCUUGGCUUUAGUGUAGAUUGCCUUACCGGAUUGGGAUUAGUAGCCAUCAAGGGUACCUUAGCUUGCUAUGACAUGUUCAUGAUGGGCUCUAAUGGGUAAAACCCAUGCUCUUGUACGAUUCCUUGACCAGAUACUGCCCAGUCCCUCUCUCUCUACCCUCACCUUCNGAAUCAACCAGCCCUGAAAAUGGAUGGCGCUGGAGCGUCGGACCUAUACCGGACCGUCAUUGCAAGCUGAGUCGGUAAUGUGUGGUGUGAGGGCAAGCCACAUGACUCAGGCGCGGAAUUGUUGUGACGAGUAGGAGGGUCGCCGUGGUGAGCGGGAAGCUUCGGGCGUGAGCCUGAGUGGAGCCGCCACGGGUGCAGAUCUUGGUGGUAGUAGCAAAUAUUCAAGUGAGAACCUUGAAGGCCGAGGUGGAGAAGGGUUCCAUGGGAACAGCAGUUGGCCAUGGGUCAGGCGGUCCUAAGUGAUCCGGUAAAUCGGUGCAGAGACGGGGUGCCUGACAUUGUCAGGAUUGCUGCCAUUGUACUGUUGCACGGUAGCCCCCUGUAGCGAAAGGGAAUCGGGUUAAUAUUCCCGACCCUGCCCACGGAGAUUGGUGUAUUCUGGCUUCGGUCAGUUUGCACCUGGCGCGGUAACGCAAUCGACCUCGGAGACGUCGGCGAGAGUUCUGGGAAGAGUUCUCUUUUCUUUGUUAGGAGUGCACCAUCCCCUGGAAACGGGUUGUCCGGAGAUAGGGGACUAGCCUCCGUAAAGCACCACCCUUCUUGUGGUGUCCGGAACACUCUUGUCGGCCCUUGAAAAUCCGAGCGAGGCUAUAUAAUUUUCGUGGCAGGCCGUACCCAUAUCCGCAUCAGGUCUCCAAGGUGAACAGCCUCAGUCAUUUGAACAAUGUAGGUAAGGGAAGUCGGCAAAUUGGAUCCGUAACUUCGGGAAAAGGAUUGGCUCUGAGGGCCGAGUCAAAGGGGCUGAAGAAGGAUACGUGUCGGUCAAGUUGGAGGCUGGUUUCUCUGUUGCCUUGUCUCUUCGGUGGGUAGGGUUGACGGAGUUACUGGACUCUGACCGGAUCGGUCGUGGGCGACUUCAGCUAACAGAGCUGCUUAGCAAGCGGUGUGCAUGGGUAACUGUGUGCGCAAUGCGGUCUUGCUUUCUUCGUCUGGCGUUCAACGGCUAACUCAGAACUGGCACGGACCAGAGGAAUCCUACUGUCUAAUUAAAACAAAGCAUUGCGAUGUCCACUGAUCGGUUUUGACGCAAUGGGAUUUCUGCCCAGUUUUCUGAAUGUCAAAGUGAAGAAAUUCAAUCAAGCGCGGGUAAGCGGCGGGAGUAACUAUGAUUCUCUUAUCAUGCGGGAGGUGGACCCGUUGGGCCGGUGAAGCCGACAAUGUGAAACCGAUGAUGAGGUAGGUCUAGCUACGUGAACGGUUCGCCUCCUCGUGGCCCCGCUGGUGAGGUUGGGUCUCAUAAUUGCUCUGGGACGUGGGGCUUGUCCUUCCGGACUGUUUUGCGUCCUGGUGCGGUUUUCCGAAUUCCUGACAAACUAAGAACCGUCACAACCUGGCUGUUGGCUUUGCAGGCCGCAGUCUGGGUUCAAAACUCCUAUUGCAACCAAUCCUUACAAAUAUAUCAAUGAAAAGGGAGCGAGCCGCAUCAACACUGCGGCAAUUUCACCUCUCCCCUCUGGAUGUUCUGGACUUGGUUUCCACCGCAAUGCGUGGAUCCACCGAAACAUUCCUCCGUCACAUGAGAGGUCCCAAUUAACACAACAUCCCAACUCAUCCCAACACUUCCAUGUCCACUUUUUUGCACUUUUUUACUGACUCGCAUAACCAUUCCGCGAGCGCACACAUAUAUUCCGAUUCGGUGACAAAAUUACUGUGCUGUGCACAGCGCUUGUCAAACGCAAUGUCAAAACCGCUUUAUUUGACCUAUGUUUGACAAAAAUAUAUGUUUUAG
rnacentral:rRNA from 1 species